rnacentral:rRNA from 1 species
UACAGAGGGUGCGAGCGUUGUUCGGAAUUAUUGGGCGUAAAGGGCGCGUAGGCGGUGCGGUAAGUCACCUGUGAAAUCUCCUGGCUCAACUGGGAGCUUGCAGGCGAAACUGCCGUGCUGGAGUGUGGGAGAGGUGCAUGGAAUUCCCGGUGUAGCGGUGAAAUGACGUAGAUAUCGGGAGGAACACCGUGUGGCGAAAGCGGACGCACUGGACCACAACUGACGCUGAGGAGCGAAAGCCAGGGGAGCAAACGGG